ACGGAGGGAGCUAGCGUUGUUCGGAAUUACUGGGCGUAAAGCGCGCGUAGGCGGUCCAUUAAGUCAGAGGUGAAAGCCCGGGGCUCAACCCCGGAACUGCCUUUGAAACUAGCGGACUAGAAUCUUGGAGAGGUCAGUGGAAUUCCGAGUGUAGAGGUGAAAUUCGUAGAUAUUCGGAAGAACACCAGUGGCGAAGGCGACUGACUGGACAAGUAUUGACGCUGAGGUGCGAAAGCGUGGGGAGCAAACAGG
rnacentral:rRNA from 1 species